CCUUAGCUCCCGGCAAACAGGAGCCCCACUUGGGAGGAUGCCAACUCAGCCUGGCCUUUCGUCCCUCUGGCUGUGAUCUGGUGCAAAUGGAAUCUCUGGAAAGCACACUCAGCUCUGAUAGGUGCAGAAGAUUGGUGGAGGAGUCAGGAGCCUUUUAUCCACCUCAGUCAUUCUGGAUGAAGAGACUUGCUUCUGCUGCUGGAAGGGAGUUUGUUGCAACAGAGCAUCAAUCAUUUGUCCCCUUGAGACUAUAGAAGGCAGAUUCCUUUCAGAAGGUUCCACAGGAAUGUACAGACACCAGAUAAGAAAAGGCUAAAUAUUUCUGGAUUGGGUUAAACGGAGAAGGAGAAAAGAUGGAUUUGGCUUGAUGACUCCCAAUGAAAAGGAUACAGGUUGGCAUUAAAAGGAAAUGCAGAUGGCAAGAACUGUGCUGCUUUCCAAAGGAAGGAGAAGAUCCUCCAUGAUAGCUGCCAUUUUAAACGGAUGGAUCUUCAAGAAAAAAUGCAACCCUGCUGGCUGGCUGAGACCCUACAGGAUACUAGACAAUGUGUUUUAUAGAAUGAUACAUCUUCUUGCACUCUGAGAUAUUUGGCUAUAAAUAAUAAUGGGUUUUAUCCAAAGUCCAGUGAAGUAGAUGAAAAGACCACCCUCCCUAAAAUAGACUUUGGAUUAAGCCUUCUAAGAAGAUUCCACAGAAGCUAAAAUACUCCGCAGUGAUGUGUAUCACUGACUGUAUUAGGGGCAGCUGAGCAUUGUCAUACCUGAACUCCCUUGCUGUUAGAUGUUUAAACCACAGUAUAUUUGAUCAAACAAAGCAUUAUUUGAUGCAGCAUUAAAAGGGAGCAGAGAGGGUGGCUGGGACUUAGUGUGACUAUAUCUCAGCACAUAUGGCUAUGGGGGUGGGAGGUCGUGUCACUGGGCAGUUCAGCCUCACUGCCUGGCCAGUUCAGAUGGUUUCACAGUCACAAACACAUCAGGCUGUUUAUCUUUCACCAAGGCAUGUAUUUAUUCGCCUCUUACAUAGUAAUACCAUGUAAUACAGUCUUACAGCAAGGAUAGGCUUCCCUGCAGUCCCCACUCCCAAGCUCCGGCAACCCUCUUCCAAGCCUCCUUCUGAGUUGCCCCAUGCCUCCUGUUUCCUCCCCUUAUAUUCUCCCCAAUUACCUUGUUAGCUCAGUGAUUGUCACCCAAGUGCUCACUCCUCAACUGAAAAGGUGUAUAAGUGCCCUCAGCUCGGCUUGCAGCCUUCCUCAGACUACAGCAAUAUCAGUGAUCAGGAUGCUGCUGAUAUCUCCCUGUCACACACCUCCCCCCUUAUUUCAAUUGAGGCCCUUUCUUGCCUCCAAAUGAGGCCUUCUUUGCUGCCCAUAUCUUACCUUCAUGCCUCAUUAUGAGGUUGGGAUUCCACCGGGGGUUCCUGUGCUCUUUGGGGAUGGCUCUCAUUGCACCACGGGUGAGGGUCUCCUGCCUUCCACCCAUAGAAGUACACUUUGAGGGUGGAGGUUGCCCCCACAGCUCGGCCUUGGCCCAUAGGUCAUCACACCCAUCACAUCCCACUGGUCUUCCUCCCAGUUUACUUGGCUCUGGGCUUAUAUCUACCCAGGUGCACUGUCCCUCUAGGGCCACAAUUUCAAGACCUCUCUCUUCCCCUGACUUAUCUUGCCCUUGGUCUGGGACUGCUGGGUUAGGUUCGCCCAGCAAAGCUUCCAUGUCAGGACCCCAUCUCUCUCUUCAGCUUGUUUAUUACCCUGUGUCUGGUCCAGGGCUUAUUCCUUCUGGACGUCUGCGGAGCCUCCACCCUCCUUGUCUUCUAGGUAUCCCUGUUCUGUCAUUCCCUGCUUCAUUGCCCCCAUCUUGGAUUUUUCUCCUCCCCACAAGUCCUCCAGUGUGCCACAUCCUUCUGAGCUUGUUUUCUUAUGCAUAGGGUCAUCACACACUGAACUUGGAGGACUCCCUGGAGGAUCUACACUUAUGGGCUUCUCAUGUGGACCCACCAGUUGGGGUCCAUUCCCCCACUGACUACCCUUUUUACCUAAGGGAAAUGGGGUCCUGUCAGUCCCUAGCAUUACUGAGUAAGGUAAUGACUUUACCACCCCUACUCACUGCCAUCAAAACUUCCCUUCUACUUUUAAGGGGAUGACAGCCACAGGAUAAGUGCUCUUUUCCCCAUGUAUACAAUAGAGUGUUAGCGUUGCCCCCUCCUGUUGGCACCUGGGCAUUCCAUACGAGGGAAAACGCUGCUUCUGAAGCCACAUCGGCCCUCGUUGUUCUUUGGCCUACAUUGACUGGAAUCAUUCUUAUCCCUAGGCCCCCUUUUACGCCUGUCCACAGAACUCCAGGAACCUGGAGUCCAUGUAAGGGCAGUCUCUCUUUAUGUGUCCUUUGCCCAGAACUGGUAGCAGACUACUGGUUCCUCUUUUGCCCCUGCAUCUCCUUUCUGGGCUUCGCUGCACAGGGUCCUUCAAACUUCUUUCUCCUGCUCUCGGUCAUCGGGGUACGGAGCUCUUUUAAUGGAAAGUCCAUCUCCACAUACUCCUCUGUUAAUUUCACUGCUGCCUCUAGUGAUUCUGGCUGGUGCUUCUGAACCCAGACCCUUGUAGUCUCAGGAAGGCUCUGUAUAAUCUGCUCCAGAGUAAUGGAGUUCAUUAGGACUUCAGUGUCCCAUCUAUCCGGCUGC